rnacentral:lncRNA from 1 species
AGCUCUUAGCAAUAUAUAGAAGUGAGCAGGACAGCCGUGGUCCUUUCUUGGGAAGUUUAUUUUCUAGUGUGGGAAAUUGUACAAUAAAUAAAAUAAUUCUAAUAGUAGUAAGUGCUAUGAAGAAAACACAAUAGUAUGCUAACAUGAUAAACAUCAUGAUAAAAGGCCUUUAAGUAGCAGUGGAGAUUAUUUGUCAGUUAAUAAAGGGAUUUAAAACAAUUACAUUUACUGAAAUAGCUGAUAUGUGUAUGAUCUUACAUCAGUUAUCUUAUUUUAGGUUUUCUGAGGUUUUGUUUCCAUUUAGUUUGUAGUCUAUUUAGUUUUUAGUUCCAUUUAGUUAUGAGUAAUAUCUUGCUUUAUUUGCUUGUUUUCUUCUCAAUUGGUUUGGAAGAUGAUGUUAUUUUUAUUUACAUAAGUGGAUAUUUUUACAUUCACUGAAAACAUUCUCUAAUCUAAAUUUUGCCUUUUUAUCAAAUCAAACAAUUAUAUCUUUUGCUUUCUUCCUGUAACAUGAGAAAUUUAAUCAUCCACGGUCUUGCUAUUUUAUGGUCUUUAUUAAUAUAGUCUUAAAGAUUCCAUUUAAUUAAUUGUAUUAACUGUACUUAAUAGGUUUUCUUAGCUACAAUAAUUAUACCGACUUCCAUAUUUAACAGCUUUUAAUGCUUACUGUCAAUUUGUGUACAAUAAUUUAACCUUUCUGAAUUUCUUAAUUUUAGUGGUAAACGUGUUUACAUAUUACUUUAUAAAUGUCUUCAGUAUAUUCUUAAGCUCUUGGAUAUUUAAAAGUGGUUUUCUAUGGUCUUUACAAAGGAACAGUAAUUUUACUAGCUAUAAAAGUCUUAUGUUAUAAUCUUUGGUUUGCUCAAAAUGAUCACUCUAUGGUUUUCUGGCCAACCUGAUUUUUCUUCAUUAGUAGGGAAUAUGUUUUAUCUUUUCUGUUUCAUGCUAUAAUUUAUUUUUUAUACCUUUGAAGUUUAGAAAUUUACUAUGUAUCAAGAUAGGUGUGUCUCAAGGCCAAGUGAGAGUUAGCAAAAACAGGUUACAGAGUCAGAUCUGCAAAGGUCUCAGAUAUUGGUAUAUCUCAUAUAACACAAACUAAAUAUGUUUACUAUAUUUAAAUAAAUAAAAGGCAAACUUAAAAUAUUAUAAUGAUCAUGAGAAUUAAAAAUUAAGUGUAUUUGGGAAAAAAUAGAACAUUAGAAAUUAAAAACAGUUAUUCAAUGCAUAGGUUAAAGAGUAUAUUAGACAUAAGCAAAGAGAGAUUUUAUAGGCUAGAAAACAGAUCUGAAGGAUUACUCAGAAUGUAACACAGAGAGACAUAGAAAUGCAUAAUAGUAGCAUGAAGGAUAUAAUGAAGAGGUGUGUCUAACAUCCAUCUUAAUGGAGAGACAAGGUCAGGGAAUGGGGCAGGGACAAUAUAUGAAAAUUAGGAGCUAGGAAUUUUCCAAAACUAUUAAAAAAAAAAAAUCUGUCUUCAGAUUUAGAAAGCCCCCCAAACACAAAGAAGAAUAAAUGAAAGAAAUCCACAUUAGACAUAUAAUAGUGACUCAGUAUAACACCAAAGACAAACAAAAUGACCUUAAAAGACUGCCUUAAAGGAAUUAACAGAACUAAAGCUGAUUUGUCAGUAACAGCACUGGAUCCAAAGGCAGUCAAAUAAUAUCUUCAAAGUGGUGAGAAAAUAUAACUCAAUCUAGAAGUCCAUGUUCAGCAAAAAUUUGAAGAUUAAGGGCAAAAUAAUUUUUUUCAGAUAUAUAAAACCUGAGUGAAUAUGCAGCAAGAGACUCUCUCUAAAGGAAAUUCUAAGUGAUGUACGUCAGGCUGAAGGAAAAUGAUCCCAGAUGGAAGAUGUGACCUACAAGAGGGAAUGACGAACUAAGAAAGUGGUUUAUAUGAGAAUAAAUCUAAACUAAAAUUGAUUGGUGAAACAAUAAUGUAAUGGCUUAUAGCCAACAACUCCGUAGAGAAGUGAUUAGAGUGAAAGCAUUCUAAAGUCCUUGCUUUAUGUAGGAAGUUGGUUAAAACAAAAACAAAAGCCACUGACUAAGUAUGCAUGUUAACAUUUCUAGGGUAUUCACUAAAGAAAAGAAAUAGUAUAACUCUAAACUAGUGGAGAUUUAAAAAGGAACAAAAAAAGUUAGUCAACCCAAAAGCAGUUAAAAAAAGAAGAGAAAAAGAAAGGGAGACGAAGCAUAACAAGAUGAUAGAACAAAUGUGAAUAUAUCAGUUACUAUACUAUAUGUAAAUUAAAUUUUCCUGUUAAAAAGCACAGUUUAUUAGAUUAAAUUCAAAAGAUAGACUAGCUUUAAAAAUCUAAAUACAGUACUGUGGUUUACGUGAAAACCCUACAUAAGGGUACGUAAAGGUUUUGAGAAAUAGGGUGACAUAACUACAAAUAUAGGUGGAAUGAACUUUAAGGCAAAAGGUGUUACCAGAGAUAGAGGGUCACAAGAUAAUGGUAAAAGAUUCAUUUCACCAGGAAAAUAUGACACUUCUAAUGUUGUAUGCCCCCAAUAACAGACUAAAAUUAUAUAAAGUAAAAAAUGGACAGAAACACAAGGAUAAAAAGAAAAAAUGUCAUCAGAAUUGGAGGUUGGAAUCUACUUCUUUUAGUAAUUGAUUUAUUGAAUAAACCAGGGAUCAGCAAACAUUUUCUGAAAGAGAGGCCAGAUAAAUAUUUUAGGCCUUGCAGGGCGCAUAUAGUCUGUUUUGUGUAUUCCUCUUUGCACCAUACUUAGCUCAUUGGGCCAUACAACAACAGGCUAAACAGAUUGAGUCCACAGGGUAUAGUUUGUUGACCUCUGAAAUAGAGAGUAAAAAUUAGUGAGGGAAUACAUGAUUUGAGCAACAGAGUUAAUAAGGUUGAUAUUGACCAUACACGUAUGGAAGAGACAUUCUUCUCAAGGAUGCAUGGAAGAUUUAUGAAAAUAAGAAGCAUACAGGACCAUAGAGCAAAUAUCAAUAAAUGAUUGGCAAAGAUUAAAAAGUCUGAAAACACCCAUUUUUGAUGAUGUUGUAGGGAAAAGGAAAACCUUCAUGCCCAGUAUAAGUCUGUACAACUACUCUAGAGACCAAUUUGGCAAUAGCUAGUAAUUGUGAAGAUACAAUUUUGUAUAUAAAUCCUAGAGCAAUUAUUCUUAAAAGAAGUUUUAAAAACUAUCUAUCCCCAUGACAUUUUUAAG